rnacentral:lncRNA from 1 species
CCCCGCCCCUUUGUUAGACGCUGUGACGGGCGGGAAGUGUUACCAGGAGGGAACACGCGUCGGCCAGAACCAAGGUAAGCUGUUCCCACCCCUGCCUGUCACUUAGCUACCUAUCUGCAGCCUGCCACCUACCUAGCUACAGCCUGCAUCUUAUAUAUAUUAUAGGUAGAUACAGACUGAUGUGACUGGAGUGGGGUGGGGUGUUUUAUUUAUACAUAUAUACGCCUUUUUUUUAGGUGAGGGCAGGCACUUUUGAGUGAGUUCCCCCAAGCCAUACUGAGGGUCUCAACUGCUUCCGCUCUAAAGCCAAAUGUGGUUCAGAUUUGUGAGAAGAAGCGCGGUCAAGUCUCUGGCAGCAAGGAGUAGGCAAAAGAUGCCAUGUUCAGAAGAACUGUUCAUAAUCUUCACUCAAUGUUCUAUUAAUGUUCAGGACACUUCAUGUUCAGAAGAAAUAAAACUGUUAAUAAUGACAUUUGAGGACUUUUUUUUGUGAAAUCCCUUAUGCGGCCCAGCCUCACCCAGACUUUGCCUCCUGCGGCCCC